GCCAACGACCAUACCAUAUAGGAAUUACUGAUUCUUGUUCGAUCACCAAAAUCAAGUUAUGUCAGGCACGAUUAAUAUUUGGAUGAAUGCCACUUGGGAACACUGUGUUGAUUUUU
rnacentral:rRNA from 1 species